CUUCACUGGUGGGCGUACACAACCUGGUACAAUAAAGCCCGAUGAAGGAGAGAGGCAUCCUUAUUCAGUUCUAGAUUGCCAGCCUAUACGUGAAGCUAUCUUACCUUCUGUACUCUACAUACAGAAGAUCUUGCGGCGUAAACCCUUUUUGAUUAAGAACCUUGAAAAUGUUAUGCGAAAGUUCCUUCAGUCCUUGGAGCUCUUUGAGGAGAAUGAAAGAAAGAAGCUUGCUAUAUUCACAGCCCUUACAUUCUCUCAGAAACUAUCAGGGCUUCCGCCUGAGACCGUCUUUCAGUCAUUACUUAAGGACAAUCUUGUGGCUAAGGGGAUAGUUCUUCCAUUUAUUACUGAGUUCUUCAAGGAAUACUUGGUCGAUAACAGUUUAGAUGAUCUUAUAUCACUUCUGAAGCGAGGUAAAAUGGAGGACAAUCUCCUUGAUUUUUUCCCUUCGGCAAGACGCUCUGCUGAAUGUUUCUCUGAGCAUUUCAAGUAAGUACAUCUUCUGAAUUAUUAUGAAGUUUAUUAUACCCCUAGUCCAUCUGCAAACUAAUCGCUUACCCAUUUCUUCAUUUGGUGAUUUUCCAGCAAAGAAGGAUUG
rnacentral:lncRNA from 1 species